UCAGCCGCCGCGGUAAUACCAGCUCUCCGAGUGGUGUGGACGUUUAUUGGGCCUGAAGCAUCCGUAGCUGGCUGAACAAGUCCCCUGUUAAACCCACCGAUUUAAUCGUUGGCGUGCGGGGGAUACUGCUUGGCUAGGGGACGAGAGAGGCAGACGGUAUUCCCGGGGUAGGGGUGAAAUCCUAUAAUCCCGAGAAGACCACCAGUGGCGAAGGCUGUCUGCUAGAACGCGCCCGACGGUGAGGGAUGAAAGCUGGGGGAGCGAACCGGAUUAGAUACCCGGGUAGUCCCAGCUGUAAACGAUGCAGACUAGGUGUUUGGACGGCCACGUGCCGUUCUAGUGCCGCAGGGAAGCUGUUAGGUCUGCCGCCUGGGAAGUACGGUCGCAAGGCUGAAACUUAAAGGAAUUGGCGGGGGAGCACA
rnacentral:rRNA from 1 species